rnacentral:rRNA from 1 species
UACAGAGGGGGCAAGCGUUGUUCGGAAUUACUGGGCGUAAAGGGCGCGUAGGCGGCCUUCUAAGUCGAACGUGAAAUCCCCGGGCUCAACCCGGGAACUGCGUCCGAUACUGGAAGGCUUGAAUCCGGGAGAGGGAUGUGGAAUUCCAGGUGUAGCGGUGAAAUGCGUAGAUAUCUGGAGGAACACCGGUGGCGAAGGCGACAUCCUGGACCGGUAUUGACGCUGAUGCGCGAAAGCGUGGGGAGCAAACAGG